rnacentral:rRNA from 1 species
GCCUAGGAUGGCCCAAAACCCUAAAGGCAACAGAUCCCAUCAGAUCUUGGAAGCCAAGCAGAAUCCACUCUGGUUAGUACUAGGAUGGGAAGCUGCUAAUGAAUAUCAGAUACUGUAGGCU